UAACUGGAGAGUUUGAUUCUGGCUCAGAUUGAACGCUGGCGGCGUGCUUAACACAUGCAAGUCGUACGCGAAAGUCCCUUCGGGGAUGAGUAAAGUGGCGCACGGGUGAGUAACGCGUGGAUUAUCUACCUGCAUCACCGGAAUAACGGUUGGAAACGACUGCUAAUGCCGGAUAGUCUCGAAAGGGUAAAGGGGGCCUCUGCUUGCAAGCUUCCGGGUGCUGAUGAGUCCGCGUCUGAUUAGCUAGUUGGUGAGGUAAUGGCUCACCAAGGCAACGAUCAGUAGCAGGUUUGAGAGGAUGACCUGC
rnacentral:rRNA from 1 species